rnacentral:rRNA from 1 species
UACGGAGGGGGCUAGCGUUGUUCGGAAUUACUGGGCGUAAAGCGCACGUAGGCGGCUUUGUAAGUUAGAGGUGAAAGCCCGGGGCUCAACUCCGGAAUUGCCUUUAAGACUGCAUCGCUAGAAUUGUGGAGAGGUAAUUGGAAUUCCGAGUGUAGAGGUGAAAUGCGUAGAGAUUAGGAAGAACACCAGUGGCGAAGGCGACUUACUGGACUGUAACUGACGCUGAGGCAUGAAAGCGUGGGGAGCAAACAGG